AGAGCGAACGCUGGCGGCAGGCCUAACACAUGCAAGUCGAGCGCCCCGCAAGGGGAGCGGCAGACGGGAGAGUAACACGUGGGAACGUACCCUUCAGUUCGGAACAACCCAGGGAAACUUGGGCUAAUACCGAAUACGUCCGUAAGGAGAAAGAUUUAUCGCUGAAGGAUCGGCCCGCGUCUGAUUAGCUUGUUGGUGAGGUAAUGGCUCACCAAGGCUACGAUCAGUAGCUGGUCUGAGAGGAUGAUCAGCCUCACUGGGACUGAGACACGGCCCAGACUCCUACGGGAGGCAGCAGUGGGAAUAUGGACAAUGGGCGCAAGCCUGAUCCAGCCAUGCCGCGUGGGUGAUGAAGGCCCUAGGGUUGUAAAGCCCUUUCGGCGGGAAGAUAAUGACGGUACCGCAGAAGAGCCCGGCUAACUCGCGCCAGCAGCCGC
rnacentral:rRNA from 1 species